UACGAAGGGGGCUAGCGUUGCUCGGAAUCACUGGGCGUAAAGGGCGCGUAGGCGGGUUCUUAAGUUAGAGGUGAAAGCCUGGAGCUCAACUCCAGAACUGCCUUUAAUACUGGGAAUCUUGAGUUCGGAAGAGGUGAGUGGAACUGCGAGUGUAGAGGUGAAAUUCGUAGAUAUUCGCAAGAACACCAGUGGCGAAGGCGGCUCACUGGUCCGAUACUGACGCUGAGGCACGAAAGCGUGGGGAGCAAACAGG
rnacentral:rRNA from 1 species